UUCCUGGAGGACUAGUGGUUAGGCCACACGCUCUUGCUGUGGCCUGGGUUCAAUUCCCAGCCAGGGAA